GACGGAGGGUGCAAGCGUUAAUCGGAAUUACUGGGCGUAAAGCGUGCGUAGGCGGUUUAUUAAGUCAGAUGUGAAAGCCCCGGGCUCAACCUGGGAUGGUCAAUCAAAACUGGCAAACUAGAGUAUGGGAGAGGGCAGUGGAAUUUCCAGUGUAGCGGUGAAAUGCGUAGAGAUUGGAAGGAACACCAGUGGCGAAGGCGACUGCCUGGCCUGAUACUGACACUGAGGUGCGAAAGCGUGGGGAGCAAACAGG
rnacentral:rRNA from 1 species